AUAUGAGAAAUGCAGUAUAGCUAGGAAAUGACUCCUAGGUCGUCUCUCAAGGACCAAACUGUGGUUCAGGAAUUAGGUCUAACACGUAGUGGGGGGUUUAUGAAAGGUUUGUGAAUGCGGAUGAAUAAAAUUAAAACACAAAUGCAAACAAAAAGGUAAAAACAAAAUCAAACACAGAAUAAAAACGGUUGGUCAUUAACUCAAUUACUAUGCUUCCAAUCACAGAUUAACAACAAGUACACACUACUUUAAUCCAAAUCCGACACGAAUCACCCAACUAAGCGAAGGCUAAUUCCGUCUUCAAAUUGCAAACUAAGCGAAUGCAAUGCACAAAUUUAAUCAGUCAUGCAUCAUACAGUCUAAUCAACUAAGCGAAGAUUAAACACCGAUUAGGCAACUAAGCGUAUACCUAAUCGCAGACAGACAACA
rnacentral:lncRNA from 1 species